ACGUUCUCAGGAUUGCACCUGGAGAGUUUCCAGUACUCUUCCAGCCUCGACUACAGGAGAGAGAGUCAAGCAGAGGCAUAUCCAUUCCAUUCCUAGCUUGGGCAGUGGCUAGCCAGUGGAAGGCAAAAUCUGCUACAAGA